GACCCAGUGGCGAAGUGGUUUCGCAUCCGCACUCUGUCAUAUGAUUUUCAAAUGUUCCGCGGAAGACACCUGUUCGAUUCGGGUCUGGGUCG